CAAGGUCUGCCAAAUUGUAGAGGUUUGUGCAUUGCUGCACAACAUCUGCAAAGCAAGAAACAUCAUUCUUCCUGAGGAAGAAGAACAUCUUGCUGCAACCGAGGAUGGAGGCAAUGAGGAGCGACCCCCAGCACAGAAAGUUCAAAGUCGCCAUGAAGGAAUCCUUUACAGGGAUGAAUUUGUUGUGCUUCACUUAAACAUUGAUGAGUGAUGAGACACCAGUGUCAUGACUGCUGAGAUUGGUGUUAAUCUCAUGUGGAUGAUCUCCUCCUCAUCCACAUAGACCAGUGAUGUACCAGGCAAGUCUGGCCCCUGUUGGUGCCACAUCACUGGUGCUGGAAGUGGUGUGGCAGGUGCCUCCUCCUCAACACCCACUGCCUCGGUCACCACUUCUCUCUGUUGGGCUGCCUCUGCCACUUCCCCAGCAUCAUCUGCUGCCUGAACACUGCUGGCAUCAUUAGUUCUAACUUCAGAAACUAAGCUGAUAAUGUUUUUGGUUUUAUUGCUAAGGACAAAAGUAACAGAAACCAGUAAAUCUAGCUAAGGGUA